UACGUAGGGGGCGAGCGUUGUCCGGAUUUAUUGGGCGUAAAGAGCGUGUAGGCGGCCAGGUAGGUCGGUUGUGAAAACUAGAGGCUCAACCUCUAGACGUCGACCGAAACCACUUGGCUAGAGUCCGGAAGAGGAGAGUGGAAUUCCUGGUGUAGCGGUGAAAUGCGCAGAUAUCAGGAAGAACACCCGUGGCGAAGGCGGCUCUCUGGGACGGUACUGACGCUGAGACGCGAAAGCGUGGGGAGCGAACAGG
rnacentral:rRNA from 1 species